AAUUUCGAAAAGAGUGUUUCAAAACUUCUCUUUCAAAAAAAAGUUCAACUCUGUGAGUUGAGUACACACAUCACAAAGUAGUUACUGAGAAUUCUUCUGUCUACUUUUUAUGGGAAGAUAUUCCCUUUUUCACCAUAGGCCUCGAAGCGCUCCAAGUUUCCACUUACAGAUUCUAGAAAAAGAGAGUUUCAAAACUGCUGUAUGGAACGGAAAGUUCAACUCUGUGAGUUGAAUGCAAACUUCAUAAAGAAGUUUCUGAGAAUGCUUCUGUCUAGUUUUUAUGUGAAGAUAUUCCCGUUUCCAAUCAAAGCCUCAAAGCUAUCAAAAUAACCACUUGCAGAUUCUACAAAAAGAGUGUUUCAAAAGUGCUGUAUCAAAACAAAGGUUCAACUCUAUGAGUUGACUACACACAUCACAAAGAAGUUUCUGAGAAUGCUUCUGUCUAGUUUUUAGGUGAAGAUAUUGCCUUUUUCACCAUAGGCCUCGCAUCGCUCCAAACGUCCACUUCCAGAUACCACAAAAAGAUUGUUUCAGAACUGCUCUAUCAAAAGAGAGCUCCAACUCUGGGAGUUGAAUGCACACAUCACAACGAAGUUUCUGAGAAUGCUUCUGUCUAGUUUUAUGUGAAGAUAUUCCCGUUUCCAAUGAAGGCCUCAAAGCAGGCUAAAUACCCAUUUGCAGAUUCUACAAAAAGAGUGUUUCAAAACUUCUCUUUCAAAAGAAAAGUUCAACUCUGUGAGUUGAGUACACACAUCACAAAGUAGUUACUGAGAAUUCUUCUGUCUACUUUUUAUGGGAAGAUAUUCCCUUUUCCACCAUAGGC
rnacentral:lncRNA from 1 species